rnacentral:tRNA from 1 species
GGACAUAAAGCAUUAUUAAUGCAAGCAAUUUCGACCUGCUCAUAGAUCUAACAUCUAUGUCUA